UUAAAUGAAGGAAUAAAAUCAGCUCUUCUUGUGUUCUCUGUGUUACAGUUCAAAGUUCUUGCAUGUAACUAAAACACAAAACUCUUACUGAUGUUUAUGUAAAAUUAAUACAAUAUCUAAGAAAAAAUCUUUGAGACCCAAGAAAAGUGAAUUUUUUCAUCUCUUGUGUAGUAUCAUUACUUCAUAUCAUCACCUCACCAUUAACAAAUGAUAGAUUCGUCAUACCAUAUGGCAUUUUCUCUAUGCUGCAAUUAACAUUCCCAGCUAUUUAGAGCUGAGUAUUACUUCAUACACAUCCAGAACCACAGACAGAAACAAAAUAAAUAAAUAACGAGACAUUAUGAAUCUCACAGGCUGGUGGAUUUGGACAUAUCAGUACUGAACCUGUUAAUAGGACUUUCUUCUCCAAGCUUGUUUAAUGCAUACAUCUUGUCACAUGGUUGUAACAGACUCAGCAGAGUAAUAGUGUAUGAUGAGUUCUUCAGUCAGGAGGAGGAGCUGAGUGUGUGUAGAGAGCAGAGAUGAUCCGCACACUGACAUGCUGACGAGCUCUAACUCAGUGUGUGUUCUUCUCUCAGUAAGUGCUGUUCACCAUGAUCAUCUUCACUGUACUGUUGCUCUCAGCUCUUAAAGGUAACAGAGCUGAGGACGUCAUCACUCCAAGCAGAGACGUUGUUUUUGCUGUUGAAAGUCAAAAUGUUACACUUUACUGUAACUACAAUGGAACUGCUUAUGGUCUUCACUGGUAUCGGCAGUAUUCAGGUUCACCUCCACAGUUCCUCAUACUGGACUAUAAUGGAGUUAUUACUAAAGCUCAACCUCCAGUUCCUGGAAUAUCAAUUAACCAUGUAAAAGAAAUGAAUAAAGUGGAUCUGAUCAUCUCCUCUGCUGCAGUAUCAGACUCUGCACUCUACUACUGUGCCCUGCAGCCCACAGUGACAGGAAACCCAGCUACACUGUACAAAAACACCCCUAUUAUACCCUUUACUAUACACAACUUAAAGUGUUAGAUACUGUACAAAGCCUAGAAAUCAAUAAUGAUAUUUCUUUUCAGAAUCUACUGUAUGAAGAUUUAAACUUGAAGACUGAACACACUA